GAACAUGAUCUUAUAUUGAAUUACUGUAUAUGUAGUGAGGUGUGCCGUGACUAAAACGUCAUCCUUAUUAACUACAUGGCCAAUGGGCUCUCUCCCUACCAUAGUAUAUAAGCUGUUGUUUAGGCCUCACGGAAUGCGUCAUGAUCGAAAACCCACGCCUUCUUUUCGUUGCUACGGACUACAGAGAGUGACGUUAGGCUGCCGAGACUGUGCAUGUGUGGUGUGCCGUCAGGGCUCUCAACUGUGUAGCAUGGUAGUUUAACGUAGCUCCGGUCGGAGCACCAGCUGUUGCCGUCACAACUAUUAAAGACGCUAUCAUGAUUUUCGGAUGUUCCAUUGUGAGUAUAAUGUCAUCGGAUCACGGGUCCUCGAUUUUGCAUGCGUUAAGGCGGGCUGAGUGAGAUGUGGUCAUAUCGGUAUAACGCCUCCCCCUCAUUCGUGAAGCCACGUUGCUGCUUGGUUGCUUUGGGGCUGCUUGCUGUUUGGUUUUGCUGCUUGAUGGUCUGAUUUGGUUUUAUUUUGUUCUGCUUUGUUUCGUUAUUUUGUUUUGUGUUGGUUACUGUCACUAAUAUGAGUUUUCUUUAAUUAACUGUGUUGUAACAGUCUUUAUCAGUUAUGCUGAUACUGCUAUGUGGUACUAGUGGUUUUGGUCAGUCUUGGUAAACUUGCUACCAGUAAUCAGUUUGAGUGUGAGGUUGUGUGUUUUUGUGACAGUAAGUUUGUCUUUGUUUUGUUUUAUUCUGUUGUUUGUCAGAUUUGAGCGUAUUGUAAUUGAUUUUGUGUGUUUUUGUUAUCU